rnacentral:SRP_RNA from 1 species
UAGUAGGUAGGAUCGGGGUGUUAGCCGUACCCCAUACCGGAAAUCGGCUUUAUGCUGGGAUCAGUAACUACUGGGUAAAUCUUUAGAAGUGAGGUACCUGCUUGCUAGGCUGAUAUGAAACCACGCCGUGUCGGAUGGGUAUGAACAACAACAUAUGCGAAGGCAUGUGCUUGAUUGUGAAUCGUCGAAAUGGAUGAGGUCCGGGAGGGUGCAAUCCUAAGGCAGCGUAUCCAUGCUAGCACGUCUACGUGAUUGAUCUUGCAGAGCUUGAGAUUGGGCUUUACUUCUAUAGUGGUACCGGUAGGCUACUA